ACACCUACGGGGGGCAGCAGUGGGGAAUAUUGCACAAUGGGCGCAAGCCUGAUGCAGCAACGCCGUGUGAGUGAAGAAGGUUUUCGGAUAGUAAAACUCUGUCCUAAGGGAAGAAUAAAAUGACGGUACCUUAGGAGGAAGCCCCGGCUAACUACGUGCCAGCAGCCGCGGUAA
rnacentral:rRNA from 1 species